ACUAUUCAGAUACAUCUCAACAAGGGAAGAUGGGCUGGGGCAGGAGUCUCUGCUAGAGGGGAAGAAUGCUGUCCCGUUUGAGGAAGCAGCCGUUGCCUAGCCUCAGCCCCUGGGAGGCAGACUCUGUGAUGGUAGCUUUUCCAGGUGUCUCAAGAGAAGCCAGGAGCAUGUCUUUUAAGAUGUCUGUUACAAUGAAUCACGCAGACUGGGAACUGUUACAAUGUACUCUCCUUGGCAAGGAACACACUGCUUCCACCAUCUCGUCCCACAAAGUAUCAAGAUGGAGUGAUUAGUAAGAGUAAAGGAACACUGUUAGCAAGAGCCUGUGGGAGCUGGCCUUCGACUGCUGUGACUCCUCUGUGACAGAUUUCUGUGAUGAGCCUCCCAAGUCAUUGUUGUGGUGGGAGUUUAGUAUGUUGGUGCACCCUGUGGAAACCUUGAGACAAGAAUUCCACCAACUUUGGCUGUGUCCCCUCGUGACGUCAUCAGUGUUGGGGAGAAUUCCUCAACAAUUACGUAAGUGGAUAACGUCUGAAGCCUCCAUCUGAGAUUCUGUCACGCUACCUCUUUUAUUUUUUCCCCCAUCAAUCUGUGCACCUGUCUUUUCCCCUUCCAGUCGGUUUGUCCACAAUCUGCACUUGGAACUCGAAGCUGACACUUUGUAAAAACAUUGUCUUUUCAUCACUGGGCAGCAAGAACCCCACAGCAGCGGGUGUGUGUGUGUGUGUGUGUGUCUCAGCAGCCAAGAGUCCAUGCGGUGUGCCUGGAGGUGGUGGUGCUCACCUUUAAUUGCAAGGAGCACUUGUGAGCCAGAGGCAGGAGGAUUUCUGAGCUCUAGGCCAGCCUGGUCUACAGAGCAAGUUCUAAGACAGCCAGGGCUACACAGCUUCCAGGGACUAAGCCACUACCUAAAGACUAUACAUGGACUGACCCUGGACUCUGACCUCAUAGGUAGUAAUGAAUAUCCUAGUAAGAGCACCAGUGGAAGGGGAAGCCCUGGGUCCUGCCAAGACUGA